rnacentral:lncRNA from 1 species
CACGGGGGGGCGCUGAGAGACGGAGUGCUGAGACACAGACACAGGAAGCAUCAACUCUGAGGCUUUGGCCAGGAUGUGAGCCCGACUUUCGCAGCCCCAACUGGCAGGCUGACCUCAUGUGAACUCCCUGGCGGUGGCAUCCUGGAGACACCCACAUGGCUGAGCUGGCACCAUAGGGGCCACCUUCCUGUUACCUUUUACUGUUUCCUGAGUCAGCAAGAAAGACAGAUCCGCCUGAAGACUCCAGCACUCUCCUCAGCUGCAGCCCCCACAGAGCUCCGCGAAGUCCUUUCCCCCACAGGAUGGAUCUGAGGCACCCACCAUUAGAAAAAAGGAGUGGAGAAAUGAUAUGCAGGAAGAAGGUCCAUCCUGAUUCACCAAUCGCAUGGAUGCACUUUCCUACCAGGCUAGGAGGGAGGCCCAUCAGACGGCCUCACUUUCUGGGUCUCAGUGGGCCCAGGUGUGACACAGCUCCUCCAGAAAUGAUGACAGCCCUGGCGACCAAGGACUCUCUGUGCCACUGGGUUUGUGCUCAGAAGUAUAUUCAAUGAUUUCCCCAGAAAAUUCCAAGUCACCUCCUAAUACUGUUUGUGAAAACUAAAUGAACUGUCGUGGUCUUCUUCAGGGACAGUUUGCUAGGAAGGCUGGUUAUUGGCAUAAUUUUCCAAAUCAAUGAACUAAGUUAUAAAACUUUCUCCAAGGCCCUGAUGGCUGUUACAGAGACAGAAAAGUGAAUGGUCAGAAAGAAGUGUGAAAAUUCACCCAGUAUUGGCAGGCCAAGGCAGGUGCAUCACAAGGUCAGGAGAUCGAGACCAUCCUGGCUAACACAGUGAAACCCCGUCUCUACUAAAAAAAUACAAAAAAUUAGCCGGGCGUGUUGGCAGGCGCCUGUAGUUCCAGCUACUCAGGAGGCUGAGGCAGGAGAAUGGCGUGAAACCUGGGAGGCAGAGCUUGCAGUGAGCCGAGAUUGCGCCACUGCACUCCAGCCUGGGCGACGGAGCAAGACUCCAUCUCAAAAAAAAAAAAAAUCCACCCAGUAGACACAGCAGCCCUAACCGCCUCUGCAAUUAGGCCUUUCUCAGUCCAAGACAAACAACCAAACGGCACACAGGCCUUCAUCCUUGGCUGUGACGGAUACUCGUCCGUGUGGAGGGCCAGGCCUGUUUCUCCCAUCACUAAUGGAAGCCUCUCUGAGUUUCUAUAAAAGUCUCCCCCUCAGAAGGGGCUCUCUGGAGAUUUUAAAUUAUGUUGGUUAGGAUAGUAAUACAUGCUUUUGCUUAAAAAUCAAUAGGUGCAGAAAUAAAAGCAUAAAGUACAAAGUGGGUUUCCCCUCCUUGGCCAGAGGGAAUGCUGUCAGCAGGUCAGCCCUGACACCGCCGCUCACUGCUUGAGGAGCCUGUGUCUUUCCUUAUGUACGGGGAUCAUGCAACGGCCACCCCUCCACACGAGAGUGGGGGCACCGACUAAGGCCAGAGCCAGGCACCGGAAAGGCGCAGUGGCCCCUCUACCUUACAAUGGUGUCGCUAGGACCCACGUGCAUUUGGGGCCCCACAUCAAAGCUCCCCAGGCACUCCCCUUGAAACGACUUUGCUUAUAGCUCACCUCCAGGAAGGGCCCUUCCCUAGAGAACAGUAGGACACGCUGUCCCUCAGGCUCUGGGAAAGCAGCCAUUAUCCUGGAAACCAGGACUCCUAGGACAUUCUGUGCCUCCCCCAUGUGGGCCAUCUUGAUCCCCACAUAGACUCCAGACUCAGGUGCUCUUCCAGGCUGGGCAUCCCUCCACCAGGUGGUCCUGGUUCAGUCCCUCUGUCCUCUGCUCUUGGUCUUGUCUGAUGAGCUCAUGCCAGUUCACCACUGCCUCCUGGGAGGAGGACGGUGAGGCAGGCAGCCCUCCUGAGCCCCUUCCUCCUUGCAGAGCACUUCCCUGGGCCUGAUGCAGCGGGAGGAGCUGAGCAGUCCCCUAUCCAGCCCAAAACAGGACACCUCAGGGCUCGUAAUCCUCAGAGUCCCCACCCACAUGCUACCCACACAAGGCCAAUGCCUGAGUGUGAAACACAGAAUACCUCCUCUGUCGCCACCUGACUUCACUGACACCACAGCGACACCUACACCACAGCGAUGCCCACGCCGCAGUGACGCCCACGCCACAGCAACACCCAUGCCUCAGUGACACCCACGCCACAGCAACACCCACACCUCUUUUCUUCUGCAGCCCUGGAGUCACUCCCAGGCCAGGGCACCAGGCUGAGGACUGGCCUCAGAGCAUCAUCAGAAGCUGCAGAGGCAGGACAGUGCUGUUUCCUCAAUAGCUUCAUGGAAAGAUCCAGCCAAGCCAUCUGGGGCUGAGCUUUGCUGCGUCUUCCUGAUCCUGGCCAGUGUAUGGGCUUCCUGUCCUUGAAAGCAACACCUCACUUCCUGACGUCCCAAGAGUCGAACUUCUAGGUGUCGGGAACCCGGCGCCUCAGGCUCUGGGCACUCUGGGUUUCAGGUAGAGCUGGCUGGUUUCCCACCCCAAGAAGAGGGCACAGGGUUGCUUGGGUGUUGCUGUGGCCCCAGCUCCCAGUGUCCUGCUGGAGGAGCCUCGGCCGGGUUCCCCUGAUGUGGUCCUGGCAGCGGCAGCAGUGCCAGCCACAUGGCCACCUCCCAUCUCUAUGAAAGGGAGGCUUCACUGGACCAGAAUUUUGCCAGACCUUCCAGCUGCUUCCGACCAACCGGCAGGUCCCCCAGCAUGAUGCACAUUUGCUGUUCUGGGUGACAACGCCCAAUCCCACGACCGGGUCAGACAGGAGGGGCCAUGCUCCUCUGGAGAGUGAGCUAAGACCAUGUUAUGGACACAGAGAAGUAGAAAAUGUGAUGCAACAACUAAUUAUGUUGCUCAAAUAGAUGUGGAAAUCCCGCGUUGUGGUGCCUCUUGGGGCAGGCGGCUCUGUUACCCU